AGAAUCAACGCUGGCGGCGUGCCUAACACAUGCAAGUCGAACGAGAAAGUGGUAGCAAUACCAUGAGUAAAGUGGCGCACGGGUGAGUAACACGUGACUAACCUACCCUGGAGUGGGGGAUAACUGAGGGAAACCUUAGCUAAUACCGCAUAACACCUACGGGUCAAAGGAGCAAUUCGCUUCAGGAGGGGGUCGCGGCAGAUUAGCUAGUUGGCGGGGUAAUGGCCCACCAAGGCAGUGAUCUGUAU
rnacentral:rRNA from 1 species